UACGUAGGGGGGCUAGCGUUGUCCGGAUUUAUUGGGCGUAAAGAGCGUGUAGGCGGCCUGGUAGGUCUGCUGUGAAAACUCGAGGCUCAACCUCGAGAUGUCGGCGGAAACCAUCUGGCUAGAGUCCGGAAGAGGAGAGUGGAAUUCCUGGUGUAGCGGUGAAAUGCGCAGAUAUCAGGAAGAACACCUAUGGCGAAGGCAGCUCUCUGGGACGGUACUGACGCUGAGACGCGAAAAGCGUGGGGAGUGAACAGG
rnacentral:rRNA from 1 species